CCUACGGGAGGCAGCAGUGGGGAAUAUUGCACAAUGGGCGCAAGCCUGAUGCAGCCAUGCCGCGUGUAUGAAGAAGGCCUUCGGGUUGUAAAGUACUUUCAGCGGGGAGGAAGGGAGUAAAGUUAAUACCUUUGCUCAUUGACGUUACCCGCACAAAAAGCACCGGCUAACUCCGUGCCAGCAGCCGCGGUAAU
rnacentral:rRNA from 1 species